rnacentral:rRNA from 1 species
UACAGAGGGGGCAAGCGUUAUUCGGAAUUAUUGGGCGUAAAGGGCGCGUAGGCGGCACCGCAAGUCGACCGUGAAAUCUCCGGGCUUAACCCGGAAAGGUCAGCCGAUACUGCGGGGCUAGAGUGCAGAAGGGGCAACUGGAAUUCUCGGUGUAGCGGUGAAAUGCGUAGAUAUCGAGAGGAACACCUGCGGCGAAGGCGGGUUGCUGGGCUGACACUGACGCUGAUGCGCGAAAGCUAGGGGAGCGAACGGG